GGAAGGGCCACAGCUUAGUGGCAGAACAUCUGCUUUGCUCUCCGAAGGUCCCAGGUUCAAUCCCUGGUGUCUCCA